rnacentral:lncRNA from 1 species
AAGAACAAUGUAAUGGUUAUAAAGAACCUGGGGGAAUGUUAAUAUUAUUUUUAAUAUAUAGAAGACAUAUUCGUUCCUUUGAGUUUUGUCAAUUGAAUGUAUGUGUGAAUGGUAGUACUGUGUAGCACCAUCUGUCGGGUUGGAAGGUACCCGGAUUUUGGGGCGUCACAUGAUCCGAGUAUAUUGUUUGUAAAUAUUAAAAACUCUAUUUUAUCNNNNNNNNNNNNNNNNNNNNNNNNNNNNNNNNNNNNNNNNNNNNNNNNNNNNNNNNNNNNNNNNNNNNNNNNNNNNNNNNNNNNNNNNNNNNNNNNNNNNGGACUUAGUGUCAGGAUGUUCUUUUCAAAAGAACUUAUGAAAUGCUCAAGGUCUUGGACCGGAAUUGAUGUUUUACUGAAUAUUGUUUUUGUAAAAUAUUUUGAAGGAAAAGAAGUGCUAUUUUGAAUUAUCGAUAAUACUUCGUAACUAUUGUUUAGUUAUUGAAGAUAUACGAUUCCUAUGUUUCAAGCAUGUUGUUUAUUAGAAUUGUUGUACUUGCUGAGCUAGUCACUCUCACUCUUGCUUGAACCAUACGCGUGACGUCCCUAAAUUUGGGUCACAAAUCACCACAGAUCUAGUACAAUCAUUCUAUAACUAUUGCAGAAGAUAUAAACAUAAAUUAUUUAUACAAUAAACUUUACACACUAUUCCCCAAGGUCGAAAACCUUCACUUAAUACACAAUUCAUAAACUAUCUAACAUAAAACAUUAUUAUCAUACCAUACUAUUACAAAUCUAGUUGAACACAUUAACUUUAAGCUGGAAUUAUCUUUAACCUUUCCUUGUAUCUGCCGUGUUCGCCUUAAUCUGCAAUAUUUAUCAUUAUAUAGCAAGGGUGAGCUAGAAGGUUUCCCAGNNNNNNNNNNNNNNNNNNNNNNNNNNNNNNNNNNNNNNNNNNNNNNNNNNNNNNNNNNNNNNNNNNNNNNNNNNNNNNNNNNNNNNNNNNNNNNNNNNNNGCUUUUUGACACUCAACGUUCCAUUUCAUGGAUAAGUUCUUCCUUAACAAUUUGAAGAUAGGCUCACAGGUUGUUGUGAGUUAGGAAAUGAACAUGCUAAUGAAGUUGAUUCUUCCCAAAAAUCCUCGUAUUUCCUUCUCUGUUUGAGGAAUGGGCAUUUCUAUAAUGGUCUUGAUUUUUGUGGGAUCCAUCUCAAUCCCUUUGUGGCUGACUAGGAAACCUAGCAACUUGCCUGAUUUAAUGCCAAAUGUGCACUUGGCUGGAUUCAACUUCAAGUUGUACUUACGCAACCUGUUGAAUAGCUUUUUGAGAUGGUCUAUGUGGUCUUCUUCCCUUCGAGAUUUUAUAAUGAUGUCAUCCAUGUAGAUCUCUAUCUCACUAUGCAUUAAUUCAUGGAAAAGAGCCAUCAUGGCCCGCUGAUAAGAAGCUCCGUCAUUGAUGAGGCCGAAUGACAAUCGUCUAUAGCAAAAAGUUCCCCAAGGCGUGAUGAAUGCAGUUUUUUCACGAUCCUCUUCAGCAACCAUAAUUUGAUGGUACCCAACAAAGUAGUUAACAAAUGAGUACAUAUUGUAUUGAGCAGUAUUGUCGAUGAGUAUGUGGAUAAAUUUCACGGGAAAACUAUAACACCCCAGAAAAUUGAACCUUUUGUAAAUACUUUUAUAAUGAAUAAAAUAAUAUUAUUUUUUUAUUAUUAUGUGUUAGUAAGAUGAAUGUCAUUCUAUAACCUACAAACAUCGGAACGUCGUAGUAUUUUAACUAUGUGAGAGAAUUAAAGUGUUUGAAUUUUCAAGACGAAAAUAAAAGUUUUAUGACAAAUUUUCCAAAAAACACUAUUCAUCGAUUUAUGCUCGGAAAUUAUUUUUGAACAUCCGAGAAAUACGUAACGUUAUAAUAUCAAGGUGAGAUAGAUUAUGUAAUAAAAAUCCAAGUAUGGAAAACGUAAUAUUUUUGCAUGCGGACUUAGUUUGUUAAUGUUAAGAAAAUUAAGUACUAAGAAUUAAAUGUAAUGGUCGUAUGAUACUUAUGUAUUGUAUGAAUGAACGAAUACAAGUAUAAUAUGAAGUAUUAUACGGGUAUGUAUGGAGGAUGGUAUAAUGUAUAUUAUGAAUUAAUAUACGAGCUAGAAUACGAGAAUUAUACGUAUAGUAUAUGUUAUAAGACUUUUAGUUAAAUGGAAUGGACUAAUAGGAUUGUGUAACAAUUGAAGAGUCCAAUAAGAAUGAAGGUGGAAGCUCAAAUUGAUUUAAUGCAAGCCCAAUUGGAAUAAGCUUAGUUUGUUAACUUAAGCCUAAUGUAAUGAUCCAAUGGGUUAGACAUGAUCCAUGGAGCAAACCAAGGUUGAUAUGUGUUGUCUUGGUGGCAAGACCUUUGUGUGAUAGCCAAGUACUUUAAGUAAUGACCAAUUAAGAGAUAAGUGUUGUGCUUAGCAAGUAAUGAAUAGUAAGGAGGUGAUUAAAGGAGGUUCGAUGUCCUAAUGACUCUUAUGCCCUCACUUUGGCUUUCCUAUAAAUAGAAGGCUAGGGUUUUCAUUGUUGCUUGUUAUUUUUAACCAACAACUUCUCUUAUAAAACAACUUAUUAGUUUGAGAGAAUAAGCACAUAUAAGUCAAACAUCCUUUGUUAGAUUUUCAAAGAGGAAGAAGACUAGUUCAUCAAGGGUAAGACUCUUUUCUAAUAAUUACUAGUACUACAUCAUUGUAGGGUGAUAAGAGAAGUGUAACUUAAUAAGCAUGUAUGCUAAGAACAUGUAAGAAUUGAAUAAGCAAUGGACUUAAGCCGAAUAAGUCAUGAAUAAGUAAAUUGAACCUAAAUAAGCUAUAAACUUAUGAAGAACUUAUGAUGAACUUGUCAUUUGUUUGUCAUAUGAAGUUAGUAUGUUUGAUAAGAUGUGAGAAUGUUGAUUAAAGGACUUAAAUCUAUAAUAAGUCAUAAGGAAUGAAAAUUGGUAGUUUAUAAGUUGUUAAGUCAUGAACUUAUGAAGAAUAAGUCAAAACAUAACUUGAAAAUAAAUUGAUGUAACUUGUAGUUUAAAAUGUUCAUAUGAUGGUUAGAAUCCAUUUAGAACAUGAUCAAAUCAUUAGUAAUGAAGUUUCACUGGAAUUCACACGAUUGGACGAUAAUCGUCGAAUUCGUGAAAUUCUCGGUAUAGAAGUCAUAUUUUGUGUUAGGCAUUAUAGAGUUACAGACUCGAAAAUAAUCGGAUUCCGACUUAGAACAAAGAAACGAGCAUUGAACGUUCACGAACAUUUAUCGUUUUCGUUAAAAAAUGAACUAAUAGGUGAAAUUUUAGCAAACGAAAUCAAAUAGAUAAAAUUCUUGCAUGAACGCGUAGAGUAUGAAAUUUGUGAACCUUAGGCUCUUGAACGAGCCAAUUCGGACUUAUAACGAAUAUGUUAUGAGUCCGAAAAUUUCCCAAAGUUAAAAGUGUUAUGUGUGGCGCCGCAGCGCCAAGACCAGAUGUCAGGUACUGCUAACCUACGCCGCAGCGCGAGUUAAAGGGCAAUGAUCGGCACUGCAGGGCCAGUCCUAGGGUUUAGCCAGUGAAGAAGGUUUACAAGUAUGACAUGAAUGGUAACUCAUUAGUAAUGAACUAAGGCUUGAUUAUAAUAUUGUCAAGACAUGUUUAAACCUUAAGUAUUAUCAAUUAAGGUUAACGUAAGUCAAUUGUAUGUUAAUGUAGGAAUGACGUAACGAAAAGCCGGAACGAAUAAUAACAAAUCUAAGUCAUAAUUAGAUUGAGAAGAAGUGUAAGAUUCAUUAGGAACCAUGUAUAUUUAUUCAUGACCUAAUGUGUUAUGUGAUGUUGUCAUUACUAUAUAGACUUAAAGACUUAAACAAGACCGUGUUAUUAACUGCAGAAGACGUUAAAGGCAAGUAUUCUAACCCUUGUUCCAGUUCAAUCUGGACAAGCUUUGUAAUUCAUGUAUUCUUAUACAUGAAGUAUUGUAUGAUGAAGUCUAAGCCAACUCUUACGGCUAGACUUAUAUUGUGUUUCUAUCAAAGCAUGGUCAAUUUUUACCAAGUUAUAUUGGUGUGGUUUUCAAACGAAGAAUGAGUAUGCUAAAAAUGUUUUGUCGUCAAACAACAGGCACGUGAGGUUGCCACAAAUUAAACGUACAUACGUUUAAUGAAUGCAGUGUUGAUCAAUAUAGAGUACUAUAGGCUGAUCACCUAGACGUGAUCGUAAGAAAUGUUGGACUUACGGACUUAGUGUCAGGAUGUUCUUUUCAAAAGAACUUAUGAAAUGCUCAAGGUCUUGGACCGGAAUUGAUGUUUUACUGAAUAUUGUUUUUGUAAAAUAUUUUGAAGGAAAAGAAGUGCUAUUUUGAAUUAUCGAUAAUACUUCGUAACUAUUGUUUAGUUAUUGAAGAUAUACGAUUCCUAUGUUUCAAGCAUGUUGUUUAUUAGAAUUGUUGUACUUGCUGAGCUAGUCACUCUCACUCUUGCUUGAACCAUACGCGUGACGUCCCUAAAUUUGGGUCACAAAUCACCACAGAUCUAGUACAAUCAUUCUAUAACUAUUGCAGAAGAUAUAAACAUAAAUUAUUUAUACAAUAAACUUUACACACUAUUCCCCAAGGUCGAAAACCUUCACUUAAUACACAAUUCAUAAACUAUCUAACAUAAAACAUUAUUAUCAUACCAUACUAUUACAAAUCUAGUUGAACACAUUAACUUUAAGCUGGAAUUAUCUUUAACCUUUCCUUGUAUCUGCCGUGUUCGCCUUAAUCUGCAAUAUUUAUCAUUAUAUAGCAAGGGUGAGCUAGAAGGUUUCCCAGUAAGUUUAAAUUUAUUAAGUAUAUAUCAUGAUUGAAAGAGUCUGAAUAAUAAGCUGGCUAUAAUUCAUCAAUAUAGUUUUGAAUUAGCGCGAAGAAACUUUUGACUGAACAAGUAUUAAACAUGAACAAAUAUAUAUGGACUGAACGGUAAUGAAGGUGAUCAGUCUUUCAUACCUGACUUAUACAUGCAAUAUGUAUAGAGUACAAUUCUACAACGACAAUCAGCAAUGAUUAACCAUCAGCAUAUCUGAAUGAAACAACUCUAAGUAGAGUUAAGAAAAACUUGCCUAUUUCAUUGAUUAUCGCUACACAUUUUAUAUCGCUUUAUCUGAAGACCUAAUAUUAGUAAUAGAGAUUUCCAAUAUUAGAAUAAUAUCAUCACGGUAUAGUACUAUUAUAUAUAUAUAUAUAUAUAAAUAGAAUAACCUAAACACAUAACACAUAACCCUAUCAGUCUAUACAGUACAUAAGAACUUGGUAAAAAUGCGGCGUUCAGAACCAGUCUUGAAGUGAAUGAAUUAGAAAGAACGAAGAAGUAAGGAAAUGAGACGACUCUUUCUUGAACUAUAUCAUAAACAGAUCUUCCCCUCCACGCCAAUCACGAGUUUUUCUCCAUUCCUCUCGUAUAUCGUCGUAACACCCUUAAUGCUAGGUUUUGAAAAAGACUUUUCAUGUCAUUCCCAUUUAGGUCCGAUUCGGAUCCCUCCGUUGUUUCCUUUUCCUUCCGCACCCUUUCCUCGAAAUGAGAAAGAAGAUGGUACACUUGAAUUGUAUUAUUUAAGUGCUUAUAGCUUGCCAAAAAUCCUACUUCUACAAUUGGUAGGUCACCGGGUUAUUCAAAUAAGUCGUGUUUUCCGUGGUUUUCCCAUGUUACAACUUCCGUACCAAUUCGGUCGAUCCGGAAUGGAUCGGUUAAACAUUCCAUUAGGGAGCCUGGUCUUGACUCUUCUGUGUGGUAUUCAUUCUCGUUCGGCUCUUGGAAUCACAUCCAGCAGUGGUUGGAACAGCUCGCAAAAUCCAACCACUUCACCUACUUCAUUGCCCCCAACCCUUUCUCGUACCUCUAUUGAAACAGAAUGGUUUCAUGUUCUUUCAUCGAUUGGUUAUUCCUCUCCGUUCGUAUCUCUUUCUCCAAUUUCGGUCUCGAUUAGUUCACAAGAUUGAAUGGCCAAUUCUCCUCCGGACCCUCGAUUCGAUUGUUUUCCAAGAAUAUUGAGCCGGGUAUGUAAGCCAUGUAUCUGGGAGGAACUUUAAAGAAGGGCUUUCGGUUCCCUCUUGCAGCUAUUUAAAUAAUAAUAAUAAAGAUAUAUAUAAGAAUCUCUUUUUUAGAAGAAAGAUUCUAUAUAUGUCCAAUCUCUAGUGGUGGUGGGACCAACCAAGAUGUAUGUCGUCCGACCCGACCUCAGACUCUUUCUUCCCGACCUAUNNNNNNNNNNNNNNNNNNNNNNNNNNNNNNNNNNNNNNNNNNNNNNNNNNNNNNNNNNNNNNNNNNNNNNNNNNNNNNNNNNNNNNNNNNNNNNNNNNNNUGAUUUAAUGCAAGCCCAAUUGGAAUAAGCUUAGUUUGUUAACUUAAGCCUAAUGUAAUGAUCCAAUGGGUUAGACAUGAUCCAUGGAGCAAACCAAGGUUGAUAUGUGUUGUCUUGGUGGCAAGACCUUUGUGUGAUAGCCAAGUACUUUAAGUAAUGACCAAUUAAGAGAUAAGUGUUGUGCUUAGCAAGUAAUGAAUAGUAAGGAGGUGAUUAAAGGAGGUUCGAUGUCCUAAUGACUCUUAUGCCCUCACUUUGGCUUUCCUAUAAAUAGAAGGCUAGGGUUUUCAUUGUUGCUUGUUAUUUUUAACCAACAACUUCUCUUAUAAAACAACUUAUUAGUUUGAGAGAAUAAGCACAUAUAAGUCAAACAUCCUUUGUUAGAUUUUCAAAGAGGAAGAAGACUAGUUCAUCAAGGGUAAGACUCUUUUCUAAUAAUUACUAGUACUACAUCAUUGUAGGGUGAUAAGAGAAGUGUAACUUAAUAAGCAUGUAUGCUAAGAACAUGUAAGAAUUGAAUAAGCAAUGGACUUAAGCCGAAUAAGUCAUGAAUAAGUAAAUUGAACCUAAAUAAGCUAUAAACUUAUGAAGAACUUAUGAUGAACUUGUCAUUUGUUUGUCAUAUGAAGUUAGUAUGUUUGAUAAGAUGUGAGAAUGUUGAUUAAAGGACUUAAAUCUAUAAUAAGUCAUAAGGAAUGAAAAUUNNNNNNNNNNNNNNNNNNNNNNNNNNNNNNNNNNNNNNNNNNNNNNNNNNNNNNNNNNNNNNNNNNNNNNNNNNNNNNNNNNNNNNNNNNNNNNNNNNNNAGGUACGAAGAAUGAAUCUAUAUCUGUGCACGGAAGUUGCUGGCCGGCGGCCGCUCAACUGUUCGAGCGCAGUGGUAUUGGUUCCGAUUCGACAAAGGUAGAAUGCCUGGUCGAGGGUCCAGUACAGUAGGUAGCAGGCGUGUUCGUUUUGGCUCCCGAGCGAGAACGAGAAAUAGGCGAUGCACCAUCCUUGCUGCUACGUACGUUGACCUUGACUUGACAGAUUCAUCCAAUUGAACUCACACUCAAAGGAGGACCACAAGCUCGGGGCUCGACGAAACAGAAAGUAUCAGCAUUAAGAAAAUGGGGUUAGCAGUGAAAGAAAGAGCCCGGCAUUCAUUUCUUCAUGAAUAUUCAUAGCGGAGUCUACUAAAAGAGGGACCAGCUCAUCAUGGUGAUUAGAGGACACCUCUGAUCGUUCACCUCUAAUGUGACACGUUCCCUCCCAGUUAUAUGAUCAACGGGAUCAGUCGGCUAGAGAGCGGGGCUAUUCUUCUUCCGGGGAGACAAAGUAGUCCCUUCUACUGACCGAACCCUAAGUUCGGAGGUCUUCGUCAACAUGUUACGAAGCUCCAGUCUUCGGCGGGUCACCAUGACUUUACUUAGAAAGGCGAACAUCUGGGCAAGGGAAAGCGCAGUGCGCCUGGUGCAAAUGGUUUUCUUUUCUCAUGAUAUACCAAUCAGAAUGGAGGGUCCUACCUACGUACAUGAUUGAUAGAAUCACUACGUAGGGGGGGCGGUCAACUUGAUGCGGGAGAGGCAUGAGUGCAGUUCGAUCUUGUGGUGUAUUCGUUUGUAGUGAGUAGGGCCUCUUUCUCGUUGAUCAGUUCGCCUCCGCUCUAUUGAAAGGUCUCCAUUCCUACGGCGGUUUUGUCAACGAACGCGUCUCGGGCCGGAUUGACUAACCUAACCCUUAAGGAGGCCUUGCCAUAGUUGGGUGCUCUGCUUUAGUGUGAUUGACGAAGGCUAGGCUAGGUUUGGGAAUACCAAAAAAAAGGAAAAGAGAUCGGGGUCGAUAGUUGGCAAGGAACUGGACCCCCAAAAAAGGGGGGGCAGCUGCGGCCGAACUCGAAUUCUGGAAAAAGUAGGGGCCCUUUUACCAAGUCUACCAGAUAGAAGAUGAUAGAGGGCCAACUAUCGUUGCGUUGCACAAGACGGUGCCAUUUCACUUCGAGUUCCUUCCUUCGUAGUCAAAUCUGAUGAUACGCUUUGGCGAUGUUACCUACAAAAUAAAAGGCCUGCUAGGUGAUCGAAAUCCCUCAGGUCAGUGAGGACUCACUCACUCACCUACUCCUUAUCUAUCUAAUAGUUUCUUCUAUCUACUGAAUUCAAAAGGCGACCCGCCGCGCCGGGCUAUAAGAUAAGAUACAGCUGUUGUACUACUUGACUGGUAAGAAAGAGCUUCCGUAAGAACUGGAAGACUCUUGUAUGUACGGUAACCCUCUCUUCCGCUACUGGUGGACUGUUGCACAGAAAGGCCGACAGAAGCAACGUUUCUUAGCGCGCCUUUCAAGCGCUUAGCUUCUGCUAGCGGCGGGGCGGCAAGGCCAUAAAGUAAGUUCAGUUGGAAGCCUAAGCCAAGAAGGUACGAACGAAGUGACGGGCCCCUUUAGAGAUAGGGGGCGGCUUUCUUGUGGUAGUAAUUGCGAACAUCUCUCCUCUUCUCUUAGCGUGCACAGUUUGCUUACAUGCCGCCUUAGGCACAUCUCUCUUUCUUAGUUUCACGCUGGCCUAAUGAAUGAAUGAAAGUCAGUCUUUUAGUAAGCGUAUAUAAGCAGCUGUUUAGUGUAUAAGCAAUUCUUUAGUGGUCGCACCGAAAGGUACGUACGGUGGAGGUUGGUUGAAGAUGAUGUUAUGCGGCGUUCAGAACCAGUCUUGAAGUGAAUGAAUUAGAAAGAACGAAGAAGUAAGGAAAUGAGACGACUCUUUCUUGAACUAUAUCAUAAACAGAUCUUCCCCUCCACGCCAAUCACGAGUUUUUCUCCAUUCCUCUCGUAUAUCGUCGUAACACCCUUAAUGCUAGGUUUUGAAAAAGACUUUUCAUGUCAUUCCCAUUUAGGUCCGAUUCGGAUCCCUCCGUUGUUUCCUUUUCCUUCCGCACCCUUUCCUCGAAAUGAGAAAGAAGAUGGUACACUUGAAUUGUAUUCUUUAAGUGCUUAUUGCUUGCCAAAAAUCCUACUUCUACAAUUGGUAGGUCACCGGGUUAUUCAAAUAAGUCGUGUUUUCCGUGGUUUUCCCAUGUUACAACUUCCGUACCAAUUCGGUCGAUCCGGAAUGGAUCGGUUAAACAUUCCAUUAGGGAGCCUGGUCUUGACUCUUUUGUGUGGUAUUCAUUCUCGUUCGGCUCUUGGAAUCACAUCCAGUAGUGGUUGGAACAGCUCGCAAAAUCCAACCACUUCACCUACUUCAUUGGCCCCAACCCUUUCUUGUACCUCUAUUGAAACAGAAUGGUUUCAUGUUCUUUCAUCGAUUGUUUAUUCCUCUCCGUUCGUAUCUCUUUCUCCAAUUUUGGUCUCGAUUAGUUCACAAGAUUGAAUGGCCAAUUCUCCUUCGGACCCUCGAUUCGAUUGUUUUCCAAGAAUAUUGAGUCGGGCAUUUAAGCCAUGUAUCUGGGAGGAACUUUAAAGAAGGGCUUUCAGUUCCCUCUUGCAGCUAUUUAAAUAAUAAUAAUAAAGAUAUAUAUAAGAAUCUCUUUUUUAGAAGAAAGAUUCUAUAUAUGUCCAAUCUCUAGUGGUGGUGGGACCAACCAAGAUGUAUGUCGUCCGACCCGACCUCAGACUCUUUCUUCCCGACCUAUUUUACUCUCUGGCCGCAGUUAUUUAGGUGGUAUCCCGAGAUUGAAGAGAUCGAAUUCCUCCCGGGAACAAACGAAACAAAGAUAUGAAUUGGGUAAAUAGAAAUUGAAAAGAGAUGUUUCCAAUUCAUCAAAAUGAUAAGCUUUUUCUACAUCCAUAUGAUCUACUAAAGUGAAAGUAGAUCGGUAUUGCCCAUAUAAUAAAAGAAGAUCUUGGUCCAUGGAGUCCCAAGAAGGUAAGAACUCCAACCUGUCCGAUGCUUCUUCGGCCAAAUACGAUAUACAAGUGGGACCUGCACUAUGAGCAAGAUGUGCGAAAAACUGCUUCUCGAUUUUGAAACAACUUGGACAAAAUAGGGUUCUACCGGGAAACCAUGGAUUUUUGAGUUUUCGCCAUUGGUUACUGGUUCAGCCACUGGAAUUGAAUGAGAUAAGAAUCUCUGGAGAUCUAUCCUCCCCACUUACUCGUAACAGGCUUUCCCUCUGUAGAAGGCUUCUUCCGAAUGACAUAAUUGUCCUAUUUUUUCCUCGAUCUUCAAAUAAAACUGACUCCUCCUACUCCUCCUUCUCCUUUAGGAUAGGAUCGUCGUUGGUCCUUCUUUCACUAAUGAUCUCACCAUUUUCUAGUAGUUCGCGCGAAUGACUAUCCUUUCUAUCGCUUGCCCUUGCUUUUCACUCUCAAGACAAGGCUCUCUCUUCUAUAAAGUGAAGCAAAACGCAUGGCGCUGAAGUGAACAAAGCUCAAUAAAGACACACGAACACGAUGCAGGGCAUAGCAUAAAUGAAACCGUUGAUCAUUUCAUAAAACAUAUAUGCUUGACCUUUCUCGAUGCUUUUUUGGGGGUGACUCACCAACCGACCCAGCAGUGAUCGAUGACAGAAUGGUACGAACAAAUCAAAGUCAUUAGAUUUGGUAGUUCUCCAUGGACUUCUCUCUUUACCCCUUUGCAUAUGUUCGUGCACCUCCAGAUGGGCGGGGGCCGGCCUCCCACUCCCUUAUGCAGCAUUUAUUAGCUUAGCUGGGUUGGGUGGAUCAUGCAUUAGAAUGAAUCAGGUAGUUUACUGACUCGACUGGGCAUCUAUUUGAUGACAUCCUAGCCCUCGAGGUGUCAUCAAUAUUGAGUUCUUCCAUGAAGGGCAAAGAAGUGAGACAAGAAGACCCAAAGACAAGAGCUCGACUAAGCAUCUUUAAAGGUUGUUUACAAACUCGACCGAGAGGAGAGGAGGGAGGCUCGGACUAUCAUGGGGGUUAUUCGGAUUCCAACCCGAGUAGUGGGGCAUUUCGCCUCACCAUAGUUUGUGAAGGGAGGCCUGUGCGCCAAGAAGCCCCUGGCCUGUGUGCCCCUUUCCUUUCACUUUGAGUUUUGUUUUGAUUGGCCGUGUACCGGCCCUGCAUGUAUGGCCAAUGGCCCCUUUUGAUCAAUAGACUGCAUGCUCUUUCGCUUAUUUGUAUUCUCUUUUCUCUUUGAUUGAGACUAAAUCGUCUCUUCUUUCAAAAGAGUUCCCACCUACCGCUAUUACUACUAACAAGAGACUAGCAGCGGCAAGAGAGCAAUUCUCUUCCCUUCUUCUUCACUCAUAGUUCUAUCUUUCUUCCUAAGAUAAGUAAGAUCGGUGCCUUUGCUCUGGGAAGACCCGUAAAUCAGAAAACUGAGUAUGAUAACGCCUCCCUUCUAGUCUAUAGUAGCCCUUCUUCCUCCAACCCUGAGUUCCAGUGAGACCAGCCGAGCCAAGCGAGUCCAAUAACAGCUUCGUCAAUAGCAGAGGAUAUCCCUCCAACAGCUAUCUUUUAGGAUGGCACUUGCACUUGGGUUGGGAGCUUUCCCUUCUCUUUUAAGAUGCUGCUCCCGGCUUUUGGACAACUAGAACAUCGACAGAUAGAGCGAAGAGUCCAUAAGGAGAGGAGCUUAGUUGACAGGUACGUACGUACGGGGUUCAGCAGCUGUCCUAAGAGGUAAAGCAGCGGACUUAGCGAGAUUAGGGCGAGACGAGCGCAGUCAAAAUCAAAGGCCCUAGUAUGAAAUCGGGUCUUGAUGAUUCGAUUCUCUUUUAAGAAAGGCCUUCUUCCCGAUAGAAUGACUAUGAGAAGGGAAAACUAAAUGAAGAGAAAUGAAUAGUUAUCCACCAGAGCCUCAUGCUUGUCUUUCGUUGUGCUAGCCCUCAUCAGGGAACAUUAGUGUCGAUCGGAUCGAGAGCUCCGGAAGGUUCAUAAACUCUUGUUACAGCUUCAAAUCUUCUGAUAUUGUGUUGCUGCUCAGUUAGACGACAUAUAAGGUUUAAGCUCAGCCUUAUCUUAUGGGUAGUCUCUAUAUUAGGCCCAGCUGCUUCAUUUCUCUUUAUAUCCGUAUUCCCCUACGGAUUCAAAAGAGUUUUUGCACGGAAGGCAAUAGAAAAGUCGUCUAAGAAUAGGAAAAAAUCCGAUUAGUAUAGGUGGAUUUUGAGCGGAGGCAGGAAAGUUUCUAAGGUGGAGUUCCUAGGCAAACUCCAUAUUUAAAAAAGGGACCUUCCAUAAAGCAACAUCUCUCAGAUGGGGAAUCUUCUGAAAUUGCGUAAGAAAAAUAAGACAGAGAUUCUUAUUUGCUUGAUCAUUGGCGCGGUAAAUGCGUUUGACUGAACUUCCCAUUGUUUUCUCUCCGAUAGCAUGCAGCCGAUAAUAGAGAAAGAUAUCUAGAAAGUGUGAAGUGAGGACUAAAUGUUUAUCACUUGUUUAUCUCCGCCUACGACUACAUGCUACCAGUCGGCUUCAAAAAACGUAUUUUGAUCCCACCUUAUUUAGGGAACUUUUACUAGUAAGGUUUUACACUGGGCUUGCUUCAACUUUGCGAUCUCUAAGGUCCGUCGUACUGCCAGGAGGAUCUUUAUUCAUAAAUAUCUAUUGACAUCAUAGCCCUUCCCAAUCAAAUAAAGAAGUAUGCAAUACUAAUAAUCUACGAAACCAAGGAGGUAUCCCCCUCAAGUGGAACAAGGAGUAGGCG